rnacentral:rRNA from 1 species
AUUCCAGCUCCAAUAGCGUAUAUUAAAGUUGUUGCGGUUAAAAAGCUCGUAGUUGGAGUUCUGGGCCGUUUGUUGGUCUGCCGCAAGGCUGUACUAGCGGGAUGGCCCAUCCUCUCGAAGGCUGGGGGUGCUCUUAACUGGGUGCUUUCAGAACUCGGGAUCUUUACUUUGAAAAAAUUAGAGUGUUCAAAGCAGGCUUACGCUUGAAUACAUUAGCAUGGAAUAAUGGAAUAGGACUUUGGUUCUAUUUUGUUGGUUUCUAGAACUGAAGUAAUGAUUAAUAGGGAUAGUUGGGGGCAUUAGUAUUUAAUUGUCAGAGGUGAAAUUCUUGGAUUUAUGAAAGACUAACUUCUGCGAAAGCAUUUGCCAAGGAUGUUUUCAUCG